rnacentral:rRNA from 1 species
UGGUCUUGACAUCCUGGGAACCCUGCAGAGAUGCGGGGGUGCCGCAAGGAGCCCAGAGAC